rnacentral:rRNA from 1 species
UGAGGAAUAUUGGACAAUGGGCGCAAGCCUGAUCCAGCCAUGCCGCGUGCAGGAUGACGGUCCUAUGGAUUGUAAACUGCUUUUGUACAGGAAGAAACAGUUCUACGUGUAGAACCUUGACGGUACUGUAAGAAUAAGGAUCGGCUAACUCCGUGCCAGCAGCCGCGGUAAUACGGAGGAUCCAAGCGUUAUCCGGAAUCAUUGGGUUUAAAGGUCCGUAGGCGGUUAGAUAAGUCAGUGGUGAAAGCCCAUCGCUCAACGGCGGAACGGCCAUUGAUACUGUCUGACUUGAAUUAUUAGGAAGUAACUAGAAUAUGUAGUGUAGCGGUGAAAUGCUUAGAGAUUACAUGGAAUACCAAUUGCGAAGGCAGGUUACUACUAAUGGAUUGACGCUGAUGGACGAAAGCGUGGGUAGCGAACAGGAUUAGAUACCCCAGUAGUCCCUGAGCGGGCUGGCAAGGCGCAU